AUUUGUGCAAAAGAAGCAUACCUGAAUGGAAAAGUGCUGCGGAGAAAUUGAGAAACAUUCCUCACCAUCAUAUUCAGAAAAAGCUUAGAAUAAGUUUUGAUACAUUGGACGAUGAUAAAAUAAAGGAUAUAUUUCUUGAUAUUGCGUGCUUCUUUACCAGUAUGGAUAAAGAUUAUGUAGUAAAAAUACUAGAGGGCUGCGGCUUCUAUCCAGAAAUUGGUAUCAGUAUUCUCAUCAGUAGGUCUCUAUUGACAAUUGAUUCCCGAAAUAAGUUAGUGAUGCAUCAGCUCUUACAAGAUAUGGGAAGGGAGAUCAUCCGAGAAAUAUCACCUAAUCAUCCUGGAAAACGCAGCAGGCUUUGGUUUCAUCAGGAUGUUCUGGAUGUACUCAAACAGCAUAAGGGAACGGAAGCUGUUGAGGGUCUCAUGCUGGAUGCACGAGAAUUGAAAGAUGUAUUUGUGAGCACAGAGUCAUUUUCAAAGAUGAGAAGUUUGAGAUUGCUGCAAAUCAAUGCGGUACAUCUUACUGGACCAUAUGAGAAUAUUUUUUAUGAGUUGAGAUGGCUUCGAUGGCAUGAGUGCCCUUUGAAAUGUAUACCAACUAGUUUACAACUAGGAAACCUUGUUGUUCUUGAAAUGGAGGGCAGCAACAUCAGAGAAUUCUCCAAGGAGAUUAAGGUUCUCGGGAAGCUGCAGAUACUUGAUCUCAGCCAUUCUGUGCACCUUGCUAAGACACCAAACUUCUCAGGAAUCACUAAUUUGGAGAGAUUAAUACUUGAAGGCUGCAGAAGAUUAGUUGAGGUCCACCAAUCUAUUGGACACUUGAAGAGACUUGUUUCCUUGAAUUUGGAGGGCUGCAAGAACCUAAAUAAUCUUCCUGAAAGCAUUUGUUACAUGAAAUCUCUUGAAACUCUGAACAUUGCAGGCUGCUCAAGACUUGGUAGAUUGCCAGAGCACUUGGGGAACAUGGAAGCCUUAACUGAACUUCUCGCAGAGAGAACUGCCAUUAAGCAGCUUCCCUCUUCUAUUGGGCAUUUGAAGAACCUUACAGAAUUAUCAAUGGGUGGAUUGAAAGAUGGCAUACGAUCUAUCUCUUGGUUUCCACAAUUUUCAUCACGGCUUCUGUCUAAGAGUUCAAAAUCCAUAGCUUUUCUGCCACCUUCCUUUGCUGGCUUAAGUUCAUUGACAAGACUAGUUCUUGCUGAUUUUGGUUUAUCUGAAGAUGCAGUUUCCAUUGAUCUUGGGAGAUUAUACUCACUUGUAGACUUGGAUUUAAGAGGGAACAAUUUUUCUAAUUUGCCUUUUGGUAUUAGCCGCCUUCCUAAGCUUAAGACAUUGUGGCUAAAUGACUGCAGAAACCUCAAAUCAAUCUCUGAUCUUCCAUCAAGUUUAAAGCAGUUGCUUGCAUCUAAUUGUACAUCAAUGGAAAGACUAUCCCUUCAAUCAAAAGAAUUGCUGGGAUUGUCACUAAUUAAUUGCCCAAAACUAGUUGAGAUUCAAGGACUGGAGAGUGUAGAAACUGCACCAAUCAUUCAAAUGCAAGGGUGUAAUGAUUUCAAAUACAACCCUAAUCAAGCUCUUUGGCAGGCAAUGUCCAAGUGUGAGGUUUUAGGCAUUUGUUUCUCCAGCUGUGAGAUACCAGAUUGGUGCAACCAUCAAGGAGAUGGAUCUCUGCUAUCAUUUUAUGUGCCUGAGGUUUCACCAGGCAACAGUAUUGUAGGGGUGAUGGUUUGGAUUGUUUAUGCAAUAACUGAUGUAAGGGAUUUGUAUAAAUUUGCCAAAGUGGUAAUCAGAAGAAAGAGCAAUGAAUCUUAUUCAUUCGAGAUGCCAUUUGUUUUUGGCACAGGUGAGGAUCAAUCUUUUUCUAAAUUUAUACCAUUUCUUAUGCUUCCAUGUGCAGAAGAAGGUGGAGAAGAAUUGCAAUUGUGUGUUCACUCAGUCCCUGCAGGCGCUGUGGUAAAGAAGUGUGCUGUACAUGUUACCAGUGCAGAGUCUGCAGACACAACAAUGCCCAGCAGGGUCAAAACAUUUAUCGGAGCAACUGUUU
rnacentral:misc_RNA from 1 species